rnacentral:rRNA from 1 species
GACGAACGCUGGCGGCGUGCUUAACACAUGCAAGUCGAACGGAAAGGCCCUGCUUGCAGGGUACUCUAGUGGCGAACGGGUGAGUAACACGUGGGUGAUCUGCCCUGCACUUCGGGAUAAGCCUAGGAAACUCGGUCUAAUACCGGAUAGGAGCCAUCUUUAGUGUGAUGGUUGGAAAGUUUUUUCGGUGGGGGAUGAGCUCGCGGCCUAUCAGCUUGUUGGUGGGGUAAGGGCUUACCAAGGCGGCGACGGGGAGCCGGCCUGGGAGGGUGGACGGCCACAUGGGGACUGAGAUACGGCCCAGACUCCUACGGGAGGCAGCAGGGGGGAAUAUUGCACAAUGGGCGGAAGCCUGAUGCAGCAACGCCGGGUGGGGGAUGACGGCCUUCGGGUUGUAAACCGCUUUCGCCGGGGACGAAGCUUUUGGGACGGUAACGUGUAAAGAAGCAACGGGUAAAUACGGG